ACUUUUAUCCAUGAAAAUGGCCAAUGGAGUAGAUGGCCCUAUAGGUAUCCCAUUCCCAGACCACAGCAGUGAAAUUCUCAGUAGUCUUAAUGAGCAGAGGAACUAUGGUUAUCUCUGUGAUGUUAUCAUCAUAGUGGACGGUCAGGAAUUUCGGACCCAUCGAUCUGUCCUUGCAGCCUGCAGUCAAUACUUCAAAAAGCUCUUCACAUUGGGGGCCAUCGUGGACCAACAGAAUGUUUACGAAAUAGACUUUGUCACGGCAGAAGCUCUCUCGGCACUGUUGGAGUUUGCGUACACGGCAACCCUGACGAUAAGCACUUCAAAUGUAAAUGAGAUUUUAAAUGCGGCAAGGCUGUUGGAGAUCCAGUGUGUGAGCAACGUCUGCCAUGAUCUCCUUGUAUCAAAUGCCCUAGCCAGCAAGGAGAUAGCAGAUUAUGUAGAUCAAAUUGAUCAGAGAAACCUCCUUAGAGCAAAAGAAUAUCUAGAAUACUUCCAAAGCAGUCCAGCCAAUGGUCAUGUCGACAACCAAUGGCCAGACCUUGAACUGAAAGACCUUCCAAGAGCGCACUUUAAAAAUGGAGUUAAUGAAGAGCUGGCACAGAAGGCGCGAGGGGUCUAUCCAGAAAUGGCGCCAAAUGAUCAGCCAACCCAAACCAUGGACAAAUCCAUGCUGUGGAUCAAGAGGGAGGAUAUCACUGGCCCUUCAUUUUCCCCCUCACAGAAUGGAGACUAUCCUGACUUCCAUCUCCACGAGGAAGAAGGGAUUCUGGAACACCCAGAGCUGGCUAUGCAUCCAAAUUAUACCCCAACUGAAGAGGUAAAACAGGAGUUAAACAAGGAAGAUGAGGAACCCAUCUCAUCCAGAGCCUUCCUUGAGCAGAUUAUAAACUCAGUCGAUGAGACAUACGACAAGAACUUAGUGAAAGAAGAGAAUGACUUUGAUUCAUACUUGAAUUUUUUCAACCCUUCCCUCGAGGGUGAUGGCUACUCUUCCUGGUCCAAAAAGAGUGAGAAAAAAGUGAGAGCAAAGGCAUUCCAGAAGUGUCCAAUCUGUGAGAAGGUGAUUCAGGGAGCAGGAAAACUGCCACGUCACAUCAGGACUCACACAGGAGAAAAACCAUACGAGUGUAACAUCUGCAGUGUCCGCUUCACAAGACAGGACAAGUUAAAAGUUCAUAUGAGGAAGCAUACAGGGGAAAAGCCCUACUUGUGUAUUGAGUGCGGAGCUGCGUUUGCACACAACUAUGACCUGAAGAAUCACAUGCGUGCCCACACAGGCCUCCGCCCCUAUCAGUGCGAUGCCUGCUUCAAGACCUUCGUCCGCUCAGACCACCUGCACAGGCACCUUAAAAAGGAGGGCUGCAAUGGCACCCCCUCCACAAGGGGACGCAAGCCUCGGGUGAGGGACACCAGCGGCCUUGUGUCUGAGGGGUUGAAUGAUGAUCCUGGUUGUGGAGAGGGCAUCGGGGAGGAGGCUGCCAACCUGAACAUGGAGUUGGAAGAAAACAGCAACCAACAGCACUUUGAAGAUCAACCAGAAGAAGAUUGUUCCAAGAUUUUGGAGAAUGAAGAGCCCGAGAGGCUGAAUGUAGACGAGGAUUUGAUUGAGGAUAACAAAAGCCAAUUGUGUGAAAGCUAAACCAAAUCAUGGUAACAGGGAGGUGGGCGGGUUGGGCAGGGAAUAGGGGCACAAACCUUCUAUUAGUAGUUCCUCAUCCUUUUUAAACAAACAUGGGCAAGAAGGAUUUUUUACUUUAAUUCAGAAAUAGCUUGGUAGUACAGUGCUAGACCUCUUGUUUUACAGUUUAGACAAAGGAAAUCACUGCUAGAAUCUUAAGUAGAAGUUGACCCAUGCUACACUUUUCAGGCCCUGGUAACUGCUGGAUAUUGAUCCUUGGUACAAACUAAGAUGCUUGCUGACCCUCAGUUCAAAUGAUGUUCGUGGAUAAAUGUAUGAGGGGCCAAGGCUAAUAUAGGUACUUACCCUAAUAUUGCCAUAGGUACCCAGUAUUGGCAUUGGUCAACUUCUAAUUUUAAUCAAAUAGAAAGUAACGUUAAAUUAUGAUUUUUUUUUUGAAUUCAUAGUUUGGUGUAACUAGCUUUUAUUUUUAACGUUCAAACUUAUGACUAUACAGUACAAACACAGGACAGGAACAGCUGUAAUGAGAUUGACAACAGUAAAACAAAUUUCUUAGAGGUUUUAAAAGAAUAUUUAGUUUUUUUGUUUCCAAAGUCAGGUUCCAAGUAAUUGUUGUUUUAAAAAAAAGAAACUUUUUGUUGUUUCGCAAACAGGUUUAAAAUCUAAGAAUUUAGUUGUUUUUAAAAGAACGUUUACUGAAUGUACAGUGUGUGUGACAAUAGUGAAUUUGAAAGGAUUCGGGAGUAAGAUGGUAUGGGAAGGGCUUACACCUUUUCGAGUUAGCAAUAAAGUUGGAAGGCCUAGCACUUUUAUACAGAGGGUUCCAUCAGUAUGCGGAUCAGGACCCUAUGUAAAAAUGUUUACAAGUGAUAUCCCUAAUCAGUCAAAUAUGGAGAAAGGGAAAGGGUGAGAAAACUACUAAUUCUAUUUUGUAACAUAAUAAUUAUAUAAACCCUCUAAGCUCAUUGCACUUAUAGCCGAGAGCUCAAUUUGGGCUAGGUCAUACAAGGCCCUCACCCAGUGUUGAUCAGUUUAAUCCAUAUGAGGCAGGGGGAAAAGAAAAUGUGAUUGAAAAAUGAUUUUAAAAAAUAAGGUUUUAUUUAAAUUCAUGGCAUGAAUUGUAAAUUAAUUUUCUUGCAAUUCCCUCUUGAAAACCUUGUGAGAUGUUGAGAAAUCCAAGAGGCCUGAUGCAUUGUUGAAAAGACAAUUUUCAUCCUAAUUAGUUGUUUAUCAGGCAACUAUAGACUUCUGCAUUCAGGUAAAUAAUAUUUGAUGAUACAGUAUACUUGUAAAAUCCCACGUAUUUUGGUUUUGUCAGUGUAUCCAGAUGAGAUGAAACCCAUCACUAAUAGAGCCUAUAUUGGAACUAUGGAGCAUGAAUUGUGGGGUUUCUUGAGAGCUGCCGCAGUCAGAAUCCUAAACCUCCUUUUUGGUUGCUACUGUACAAGAGCUCACAGGAAAAGUAGAUCUCAAGCCUCUGAGAUGAAAGAAUGUCUAUAAUAAUUCCUUCAGUUAGUGUUAGACACUUAACUACCAUAGAGAAGUUAAAUACAUAGAGCAGACAAACAAAACUGCUAAGGUGAGCCUGCUGGCCAUUUAUUUACUAUAGAGUUUUAAUAGAGAGUGGUGCAAGUCUAGGAGAGGAGAGUUCUAAUGGCAUUUUUAGAAUGUAUACUGUACCUAAACUCUUAUCAUGCAACAAUAGAUUUAGAGCUUAUAAUUAGUGUGCAAAGCUCCCAGUUUCUCUUAACCAUUGAACUGAAUAGCCAGCUAUUCCAUAAAUUUUAUUUAUUGACCAGAGUAGGGUGACCACACCUAUCCUCUCCAGUUGGUCUUGUUCCCUUCAAACCGUGUCCAGUCUCAUAUGGAGAGCUGAAGCAACAUUGGGUGUAUUGUUUUGGCUAACAAGUCCUAGUGUGGGUGUGUAAAUAAUAUAUAUUUCACUUAAUAAGAUUUUAUUUAAUGGAUUGACCUUUACUUUUUGAUAGUGAACUUGUGGGGCAAGAUGUGUAUUUCAGCACUGUGUGAAGAGGAGCGGGUGUGGGAGCUUAGAGGGGAAAGUAUGUUAGACACCACUACAGGCAACAUUUUACCACAUUCCUUAUUUUUGCACUAAAAAAUCUUCAACAUGCAGGAACAGGCACUGUUAGAUGCGAAAUACACCUUUCUGGUUGGUAAAUAGUCAGCAAGUUCAGGAUACCAACAGUCAAAGCUCAUUGAUAUAUAUUUGUGUUCAGAGCAUUUUGUCAUUCUUACACACACCCUCUUUAAAAUGCUAUCUUUGGGAGUUGUAUGAAAGUGUGUUUGAACAAGGUGUGUGUUAUGGGGAGGGGGUGAUCUCUCUUUAUUUAAAUUUUCUUUUUAAAUAUGAUUUCUCUAUAAUAGAGGGAGCUGUUUAAAAAAUGCAUGCUAUAUGCAGGGAUGUGAUUUUUCUAGAGUGUUCGAAUGAAAAGGCUCAUCAUAUAUUUGUGCAGAUUUGUUGAUUUCUUGUAUCCCAAUGAUGAAUGUGAUAAAGUGUUGUAUGAAUUCUAGACUAACAUUGUACUUGGAAUUCUCAUGAAACACAGCAUUGGUUAGUCUGACCUUGAAAUUGUGGGCUGGUAUGAAAAACUGGACUAUUAAUUGGAUUUAGUGAGCAGCUAACCUCUUUCGAUUAAGUUCAGAGGCAUAUCGUUAGCCAAUACCUGUGCCCCAUGGAAGUACAGGGCAAUUCAUCUUGAAUGAGCAGAGUGAUUAGAAGGGUGCCAUAUCUUUAACUGUGGGCAAUCAAGUAUGUAUGUGUAUAUAUAAUAUAUAUUCAAAGAUCUUUUCUUCCUGCACCCCUGCUCCCUAAUCUCCAGUUGUUGCAAAGUUAUGUCUAGUCACUGGAUUAGUAUAAACUGCUCUCUUUGCCUCCCUGUCUGCUCUGGCAUCAUGUUGCAUUUGGUCUUGUUUUGAUCCAGCUCUCCUUGACACAUUUGAUCUACUGAAACCAUGUAGUAAAAUUUUAAAUUGUUGUGGGCUGGAAGUAGGGGUGGUUUCUUGUAGGUGAAGGAAAGUUAAUAUCAGUUUCAGAUGCUGUUGGAUCUAAAUUAACAAAUAAUUGAUGACGACUGUUGCCCUAUAAUCACAAGUUACUUGCCAUGACGAAGGCCAUUCGUCCCAUCUUAAUUCAUCUAUCCAGUUCAACAAUUCCCUGUUUUCCCAAUUACUGGAUCUAGUUUUUUCUUAAAUGAAUUUAGGGUUUUUGUCUCCAUUACUGCUCAAGAGUCCAUUCCAUAUGAUGGUGGAUUCCAAGCGUUUGAAGAAGAGCUUCUUGGUAUCAGUCUUAAAGUUACUUUUCACUAAUUGGAACCUGGGUUCCCUUUAUCCAACUCGCACAGUUUAAUAUCCAAAAUCAGUUUAAGAGGGGGUAAAUACCACAAGUUUCGCUGUUAACAAUUCUGUGAAUGUAAAGUCUUUGCAUAAAAAUUUCUGGGAAUAAAGCAACUUUUAACAAACAAAACAUUUAGUUGCGGAGUAUAUAUCUUCCUGCUGUCUUCCUUUCCCCAAACAUAUAUUAUGAUUUAGUUCUCCAGUGGCCACUCUGUAUUAUGCAUGGGAUACAGUUGUCCAAGAGUAAAUUGCUGAAUGUGAUGCCAUUUACUUAAUUCCAGAUUCCAUAACUUGUAACUAUAACUUCUAGUCAAUUACUCUUCCCCUUCAUCAUUCCAUUCACUUGCAGGGCAAACAUGGGGAUGUCUGUUCAGGUUUUUUCAUGACCAGCCAACUUGAAGCAGUGUGAGCUGGGAGCAGACUAAUUCCCUGUUCUAAAGCUGCUACCUGAUAUGACCCAUGCUGAGAAUUGAUGGGGAUCACUUCAGUUGUAGUGACAGGAAGCCUCCUCAGUACAUCAGUGGGCUCCAUUCAGUGUAGGGUUGCCAACUCUGGUCAGAUGUAUUCCUGGAGGGUUUCAUCAAAUGACCCCCUGCCUUCUCCGGGUCAAACAGCCUUCAUAAAGCACUUUUACCCUAGAAAAACCUCCCAAACCCCUUUACAGGAGAGUUACCAGACAAAAUUUGACACUGAGCCUCAUAAAAAGAUAUUAAGGAGAGGUGACCAAAAGCAGUAGGUUUUAAGGAGUGACUUAAAGGAGGACUGAAGGGAGGUAGAUUAAUCUUACAAUAUUUAUAUGACUAAUAAAUGCGUUUAACCAAAAAAAAAAUGCACACUUCUUAUUAAGGCACCUUUUCACUCCGGUUGCUCAGAGCAGCGCCCAGUAGAUAAAUCCCAGAAAAUCCAGAACAAUCCGAGAGAGCUAGCAACCGUAAUACAUGAUCAGUGGAGGCACAUCAGGAUCGUGCCAAUCCAAACUGGGACCGCUGACUCUAAUCCGUUGGCGGGUGACGAUUCGAAAUAUAUAAUGUAUUCACAUGUUUUGACAUCCUAAAUUUGUGCCAUUCAGUCAAAUAUAGUCUGCAUUAGGUCGACAUGAUUUUGACAUUACUUCUAAGCAAUCCACAGCCCCAAUUGUAAAGAGGAUUUUACUAAUCAUGAAAAGAAUUUUCACCAUUCAAAAUGAGUUAUAACUUAGUUUUGGUGAUAAAUAUGUUUUACAGUUUGCAUUAAUUAUAAAUUGUAAAGUGGGAAAAUGCUUUUCGUAAAUCGGGACUUUUUAACUUGGCCUCCCUGUCGCUUCUCUCGCCUGCACAAAACCAAUUUCUGCCCCGGCCCAGGUCCUUUAAUUUGGGUUCAAACCCAGUCCUGAACGGUCCUGGACAAAACGAAUUGGGCCGUCUUAACUUAGUGCUUUGUUAACAAGAAUAGGGCACAAAACUUUCCCGAAUCUAAUCCAAUAGGCAUUACAUAAGUAUAAAAUGUCAGUCUUGAGCCAGAAUAAUGAGCGCUGUGGGAAGCGGCACCGGUAAACUGAUGUUUUAAAGCAGAAUGGGGUGGGGAUCUCCAUCUCAAAUAGGAUGCUAAAUGCUCUAACGCCCAAAACUCCUUACCAAAACAGAAACCUUGUCGUCAGGACCCAAAUAAACAGCCUUUCUGAAGACGUAUGAUUGAAGUUUUGAGUUCGAGUUAUCUGGGCUAUUAGCAACCCCAAAUAAAACACGGCUGCUUUUUAAAAUUCUGUUUUGAAAACAUACUGAAAUUUGAGAGCGGGAGAGGGAUUUCGCAGCUUUGUGUCGCCUCUCUUCGUUGAAGUUUAUCCUCUGGUGAAAAUGAGGGUUGUUACUGUUAUGUUGCAAUACUACAAAUUGGAUUUAGCAAACUUCCUGUUGUGUUUCAUGAGUUUCCGUUUUUUAUUCCAAAAUGAAAUGGCACAUUGGCACAGGAGCCUAGAAGUGGAGUGGCAUCUCAUGUAUAAUUCAUUGUUAAAGCACAGAGGGAACAUUCCAUACUUUAUGUGUGCAUAGAUUCUUAAGCUGGGGAGGGAAUGAGAUAGAGAAAUAUAAAAAUUGCACUUUGGGCUAUUGGUAAAUUUUAAUGUUGUAAAUAAAACCACUAAAUCAAUCAGCAUAGUCCAAAAUACUUAGUUUUUAUACUGAAAAAAUCCAAAGAAAUUGAGAACUGUUAUGCAUAUAUUGUACACUUUGAAUUUUUCUGCCCAUUUUUAAUUUUUUCCAGUUUUAUUUUAGUUUCAUAUCUUUAAAUUGAGUGCACUGUUGCACAACCUUUUGAAUUUUACAACAACAAAAAAUUCCAACAGGCAAGAUUUAAAAUAUAUGGUAAAACACACAUACACACACAAGCAAAAUAGGGGGCAUGUGAAGAUUAAAGGAUUUUACUCUACACAACUGGCAGCUUGGGAAUGUUUUGGGAAUUAUAUUUAUAAUAAUGCGCUUUGGAAUACAGGCAGGGCUUUGGGAAUCUGUGGGAACCUUUUCUGCCAGUUCUUGAAGUUCAUAAUUUUCCUUAAAUCAUCCUGAGGAAUGAGAUUCUUAAUUAAAUGUGAUAUAUUUUUGAUUAGAAGUAUUUUUUAAAUUGCAAUAGUUCAGUACAAGUAAGGUAAUGUUAUUUGUCACUUAUUCAUUAAUGUGGCAAUUGAUCGUUUUAAAAGGCCUGGUUGCAGAACAUUGUUUUUGUCUUAUACUUAGUUUCUGUCCUUUCUCUACGGGACUUAUCACCUUCCAAAUCCUCCCAUGAACCUCAUAACAGGCACAGCAGAGCUGGACACCUAGGUGUGCAGAACCCUAGCACUGUGCCAUGGUGCCUCUUAGCUUGAACCUACUGACUGCCAUAUCACUUACAAUGAGCACUUGAGUGACUCAUGCAUGAAACAGCAAAAUGAGCUUCAGAGCUAUUUAGGUCUGAAAAAAAUUACACCUGCCAAAUUAAACCUUGAAGACAAUUUCAAAAAACAGGCAGGAAAUUCACAUGGUCGCAUGGUUAGUGUUGACCCAGCUCUUGUAUUGGCAGCACUAUGGAUUUUUUUUAUAAACAUCUUGAAAUGUCUCAUACAUAAGGCAUUAUAAUACAUAGGGGAAUAUAAGGUGUCUGUUCAAAGGUUGCAGCAAAUAGACCUCUGUGACCCUAGCACAGAAUUCUGCUGACAGGAUUGCUACUUUUUAAUAGACUUACGCAGGAAGAGGGUGAGGUGAUGUCUCCUGAUAUGUAAGAGCCUGCCAGUCCUCCUUGUUCGAGAAUGCCUAUGUAAAAUCACCAAUUCUUGCCCACUAACUUAACAGAUAUCCUAAACUUUGUUAGAAAGCACCUUUAAUUGUAAAUUAUAAGCUCUGUAAAUGGUAUUAUUGAACAAAUUACUGAACAUGUUUGAUGUUCCUUUCCAUUCUCAUUUACUUUAAAUGAGUUAACAUUUCUGUUAAGAUACAGUACAAAAGAGUGUCAUGAGAGCAUAUUCAAUGUUUGUUCCCAAAGGUCUCAUUUCUCAUCUAUAGUAACACUUUUUCUCUCUAACCUUGCUACCUGCUGCCCUAGUUACCUAUAUUACAUUUUUACUGUCCCUCUUAUCCAGUCGUCAUGCCUGUGAAAUAUAUUACAAUAAAGUUUCAAAUUUGAAAUUAAAUAAUGUAAUUUUUAAAAUCUCUUCAACAUGCGAGUGGAUUUUUAGAGGCAGUACUUGAUCUUUAUGUUGGGUUUCUCCAAUGUCCAUUGGACCUCAAGAACUGGAAAGGAAGCCAGGUCUGGUAGAUACCAAAGCCUUGUACAGUAUUUGCUUGCUGUGGCUGAAUGAUAUAAUGCCUUACUGUUAUCAUUGUGUAAUAACAUGCUGUACUGUAAUGGAUGAUGGGUAUUUUCUCAGGUUCUAGCACAGGGUGGGAUCCAAGGUUUGAAAUUUGCUCGAGGAAAAUUAUCGCCUUCUCCUCCUUUUCCCCCAGUACCCCACAAACAUAUCCUGUAUGACAGGAACUGUGUGUGACUCUAUUUAUUAUAUUAAUUUGAUUAUUCCAAUUACCAAACCUGCAUCUCAUCGUUUUUUUCAAAAAGUGAUUUUAUAGAAAAUAAUUUUAUCAUAGACCUUCAAGAGAUAUUCAUUGGGUAUAGCCCAAAAAUGUAAUGUGUUCUUUUUUAUUUAAAUACUUUGAUUUUUGUUUAGAUUUUUGCAAAUUUAGUAUGGAAAAUAAAAGCUGUAUUUCUGUAUAUUGUGAUAAUGAGUAUGAAACAUGUAAAUUCCUUUAUGUAUGAACAAUUGAGCUUGGGAUGUUACUAACGGCCAUUCUCACUGUCUCAGCAGUAUCUCAUUUCAUGCUUUGCCAAUUUGUCACGAGAAUCGCUCAGCAAAGGUUGCUGGGGCAGGACCGAGUUCAAAAGUGAGCAGAACAUGAUAAAACUUUUUUCCUUCUGUCUGUCGGCUUUAAAAGACCUUAGCACAACAUGGCAGAUGCUUCCAACCUUCCCCAGGAUUAUCAGAACCUUAACACUUAAAACACAACUGGAGACCUGCUGAUUCCACUUGCACCCUGCUUGCCCUAAGACUGGGAUCAUGCCAACCACUUGACUUUAGAAUUUUCAUGCAAACUGUGGAGAGUUAUUAAGUCCCAGUUUCUUGCUAUCCAUGGUAUUGGAACUCACUAUUCAAAACUGUGCUCACUAUAGCUCUGUCUGGAUAAACAGUUCUCAGUAUGUGUGAAGUCCCAUUUCCGCCUCAGUGGGAAUUGUCUGAUCACUGUUGUGCCUCUUGAAGGCACGGUGUGGUUGGGGUUGUGUCACACAGGGAAUCACAGACACUAGUUUGUAUCCUACAACUGCACAGCAAUGCUAUGUUGACCUAUUGCCAUGUGUUUGCUGAAUAUGGGGGUCAAAUUAGCAGUGAAAUGUGUGCAAUUCCUGGUUGUCUGAGUCAGGCAACCUAAUGUAAAUCUCUAGUUUCUUCCUGACAUAAAAAAAGAGAAAAAAAGUACAAGUUGACAGGCUGGUAAGAACAACUGAAUUAGACAAACAAUGGCAGAAAGCCUACAGGACAGUGCCUAACUGGAGGCAUCUAGGUCUAAACUGAGUGGGAUUUUCUGUCACAAAUGGGUUUUUGGGUCUACGAUAGGAUGGUUUAGCAGGGCACAAGGAGAGGUAACGUAUGUUUCAUUAAUGGGUUUAAGCACCCUGGAGAACACUGAGGAAAAGAUAAAGCAGAGUGCAAACAUCAAUCUAUUUAUGUAGAAAUGUAAACAUACAGCUUUUGGCUACUUUUGGCUAGUUCCUUUGUUCUUCUAUCAGGUUAAUUUAUCUGUUCUUUCUCUGUUUCUCCUCCCAAUUUUCCUGUCUUUCCUUGCCUUGUCUCCUUAAGGCUGCAUUAUACAAACACUGACCACUCUCUACUGCCCACUUGUGGCUAUUUUUCACACCCAACCCUAGAGAACAAGUGUCGGAAGACUAUUUCACCAUGAAAGGAAUCACAAACCUGCUUCUGUCCUCACCUGCCAUUCCUAUUCCAUACAUGUAUAAAAUAUUUAUAAUAUAUACAUAGAGUCAUUUCAGCAUGGCUCCCUGCCUGUGCUGCCUUCUUUUCCUAGCCCAUGGGUGCUAAUGUUAACCUUUCCAAUGUCCUAGUUGAGACAUGUUAAUAUCAUUGACUUAGAAUUGAAUUGGAAUCUUCAAGUUCUUUAUGUUUAAAUUCCAACGUAGUUUUGGUGGUUAUGAAUCUACUGAAUUUGACAGUAAAAUCGAUAGAAUAAACAUACAGUUCAGAUUUGCUGUGGGUUUUAUAAAGUUUCUUGGCCAUUUAAACGUGUUUUUCCUCUUUGGCAAUUUUUCUUCCUUUACUGCCUCCUCUCCCACUCCACUACACACAAUGGCCUCCACUCUGAUAAUUCAGUAAGUCAUAACUUUUUACAUGUGGGACAUAACAGUAAGUGUGGGCAAAGUAUUUUACCAUGGAUUAGGGUCUAUACAUGCAUGUUUUCUAGCAGUGGAUAUUGAGAGUGAGAGCCUGACCUGUUUUCUCCCCCAACCCCACAGUUCCUGAUGGCAAUUACGGUUUACUCCUGCCCUGCCCCUACACCCCCUUCCCUGCCAAGCCAACAUCAGUUAAUCAAGCAUUGAUUGAGCAGAUCAGUGGUGACGGAGAGAUAAAACUUGGGACUUCCUUAUUUCUACUUAAUCAUAAGUCCACAAGCAAUACUUUUGUAAUCUGUAGGAGUGAUCUAAUUCCGGUUUUGGUGAAGGCAGUAAAGUGUAGUUUAGCAUCUUUUUAUAUUUUUUUCUGUUACUGGCUAACAAAUGUAUUUUUUUACAUUUAUUAAUUCCUUCCUAAAGCUUUCAAUUCCUACUAAAUAAAAUCACUUUUACUGAGAUUGAGAGCAUUCAGUACUUCCCAGUUCUAAUGGUUCCUUACCAUCUUAGGCUGAGCCAGCUUGGGCGCUGGUUCAGUGUAAUGGUAGGUAAUUGAAUUACUGCAGACGAAAUCGAAGACUCGUCAUGGUCACCGAGCAGAUUUCAAACCCAUUUUUAAAUGUAAAAAUAAAAAUAUGUUUUCACUCCUCUUCAGGGUUAGUUUUGCGAAGCAAUCGAAGCUGUAUGUUACUUUUUGAAGACUGUACUGUAACUUGUUAAAUGAAAUUUUUUUUGCACUAAUAGAUGACUUUUGAGUUUCCCCAA